ACAUUCUGCAGCAACUGGAAAGACUACGACUUGAGUGAUUACGAAUCACUUAGAAGUAUAAACCAGCCUUAAGGGGGAAACGCCAGCAAUCCGGCUGUGGUGGAUUCAACUCGAAAGAUUGUGAACAGAUGGGUAUGGCUGCUACUGGUGCUCCGUCAAAGUGUUUAUCCACAGUUUUGCAACAAUUACAACAUUAGUAGAAUGUGAUUGUGAUCACACAACGUUAAUGUAGAGACUAUUCAGCUCAAUGCAGGUUUAUAUACAUGGUAACAAUCUUCAUGUAAUGUGAUAAUCAAAUCUUCCAUUAAUGCUGAUGCUGGCAGGUGUUUUAUUGUGGAGGAAGUGUCGGCUACAGGAAGAGAGGAGCAGUGAAGAUAUGUGAUUCAGAGGAGACCCCGCCAGACUACUGCUGUCACUGUUGUCUAAAUAAACUGUUAAUAAUUUAUUUCCUGCAUUUUUAUUGAACAUAUCAUAAUCCACUAUAACAUAACUCUAGCAGAUGAUUAUGACAUAACAUGAACAAAAACAAGAACCAAAGAAAUGAUCCAAGAAAACUAACAGCUCAGUCACUUUUGUCUCCUCCUUCAGAGGUCGCCUCAGCCAAUCAGCAUCAGCGCUUCACACAGGUGGUUUUUACAUCUGUGUUAUAUUGACAUGAAACACCAGAUGUUCUAAAGUUUAUUCAUUUGAAUUACUAAAAAUGCUUAGUUCAACAUGAAAUUAGCAAAAAAGAAAACAAAGAAAAA